rnacentral:rRNA from 1 species
AUACGGAGGAUUCGAGCGUUAUCCGGAUUUAUUGGGUUUAAAGGGUGCGUAGGCGGACUAUUAAGUCAGUGGUGAAAUACAUCAGCUCAACUGAUGCACUGCCAUUGAUACUGGUAGACUAGAAUAUAAAUGGUGCAGGCGGAAUGAAUCAUGUAGAGGUGACAUUCAUAGAUAUGAUUCAGAACACCGAUCGCGAAGGCAGCUUGCAAAGAUAGUAUUGACGCUGAGGCACGAAAGCGUGGGUAGCGAACAGGAUUAGAUACCCUGGUAGUCCACGCUGUAAACGAUGAUAACUCGUUGUCGGCGAUACACAGUCGGUGACUAAGCGAAAGCGAUAAGUUAUCCACCUGGGGAGUACGAUCGCAAGGUUGAA